rnacentral:rRNA from 1 species
ACGGAAGGCAGCAGUGGGGAAUAUUGGGCAAUGGGCGAAAGCCUGACCCAGCAACGCCGCGUGAAGGAUGACGGUCUUCGGAUUGUAAACUUCUUUAAUUGGGGAAGAAUAAAUGACCUACCCAAAGAAUAAGUCCCGGCUAACUACGUGCCAGCAGCCGCGGUAAUACGUAGGUGACAAGCGUUAUCCGGAUUUACUGGGCGUAAAGGGCGUGUAGGCGGUUUGGCAAGUCAGAAGUGAAAUUCCUGGGCGCAACUCGGGCGCUGCUUCUGAAACUGCUAGGCUUGAGUGCUGGAGAGGAAAGCGGAAUUCCUAGUGGAGCGGUAAAAUGCGCAGAUAUUAGGAAGAACACCGGUGGCGAAGGCGGCUAUCUGGACAGUAACUGACGCUGAGGCGCGAAAGCGUGGGGAGCAAACAGGAUUAGAUACCCUGGUA